rnacentral:tRNA from 1 species
AUUUCCUCGGUGUUUGGCACAGGAAAAUUUGAGUUUCCAAGAGGGGGCGGCCCAGGAAUUA